rnacentral:rRNA from 1 species
CCUACGGGCGGCUGCAGUGGGGAAUAUUGGACAAUGGGGGCAACCCUGAUCCAGCCAUGCCGCGUGUGUGAAGAAGGCCCUCGGGUUGUAAAGCACUUUCAGUGAGGAAGAACGCCUGGUGGUUAAUACCCAUCAGGAAAGACAUCACUCACAGAAGAAGCACCGGCUAACUCCGUGCCAGCAGCCGCGGUAAUACGGAGGGUGCGAGCGUUAAUCGGAAUUACUGGGCGUAAAGCGCGCGUAGGUGGCUUGACAAGCCGGUUGUGAAAGCCCCGGGCUCAACCUGGGAACGGCAUCCGGAACUGUCAAGCUAGAGUGCAGGAGAGGAAGGUAGAAUUCCCGGUGUAGCGGUGAAAUGCGUAGAGAUCGGGAGGAAUACCAGUGGCGAAGGCGGCCUUCUGGACUGACACUGACACUGAGGUGCGAAAGCGUGGGUAGCAAACAGGAUUAGAUACCCCUGUAGUC